rnacentral:rRNA from 1 species
GUGAGGAAUAUUGCGCAAUGGCCGAAAGGCUGACGCAGCGACGCCGCGUGAGGGAUGAAGUCCGUUAGGAUGUAAACCUCUUUUGCAGGGGAUGAAUGUCCCGUUUGACGGGAUUGACAGUACCCUGCGAAUAAGGAUCGGCUAACUACGUGCCAGCAGCCGCGGUAAUACGUAGGAUCCGAGCGUUGUCCGGAAUUACUGGGUGUAAAGGGCGUGUAGGUGGGUUCCUAAGUCGAUGGUGAAAUCCUGCAGCUUAACUGCAGAACUGCCUUCGAUACUGGGGAUCUUGAGUGCGGCAGAGGGAGAUGGAAUUCAUGGUGUAGCGGUGAAAUGUGUAGAUAUCAUGAAGAACACCGGUAGCGAAGGCGGUCUCCUGGUCCGCAACUGACACUGAGGCGCGAAAGCGUGGGGAGCAAACAGGAUUAGAAACCCCUGUAGUCC